rnacentral:rRNA from 1 species
UAGGGAAUCUUCCGCAAUGGGCGAAAGCCUGACGGAGCAACGCCGCGUGAGUGAUGAAGGUCUUCGGAUCGUAAAACUCUGUUAUUAGGGAAGAACAAAUGUGUAAGUAACUAUGCACGUCUUGACGGUACCUAAUCAGAAAGCCACGACUAACUACGUGCCAGCAGCCGCGGUAAUACGUAGGUGGCAAGCGUUAUCCGGAAUUAUUGGGCGUAAAGCGCGCGUAGGCGGUUUUUUAAGUCUGAUGUGAAAGCCCACGGCUCAACCGUGGAGGGUCAUUGGAAACUGGAAAACUGGAGUGCAGAAGAGGAAAGUGGAAUUCCAUGUGUAGCGGUGAAAUGCGCAGAGAUAUGGAGGAACACCAGUGGCGAAGGCGACUUUCUGGUCUGUAACUGACGCUGAUGUGCGAAAGCGUGGGGAUCAAACAGG